GAUGAACGCUAGCGGCAGGCUUAACACAUGCAAGUCGAGGGGCAGCAUAAUGGAUAGCAAUAUCUAUGGUGGCGACCGGCGCACGGGUGCGUAACGCGUAUGCAACCUACCUUUAACAGGGGGAUAACACUGAGAAAUUGGUACUAAUACCCCAUAAUAUCAUAGAAGGCAUCUUUUAUGGUUGAAAAUUCCGAUGGUUAGAGAUGGGCAUGCGUUGUAUUAGCUAGUUGGUGGGGUAACGGCUCACCAAGGCGACGAUACAUAGGGGGACUGAGAGGUUAACCCCACACACUGGUACUGAGACACGGACCAGACUCCUACGGGAGGCAGCAGUGAGGAAUAUUGGUCAAUGGACGCAAGUCUGAACCAGCCAUGCCGCGUGCAGGAUGACGGCUCUAUGAGUUGUAAACUGCUUUUGUACGAGGGUAAACGCAGAUACGUGUAUCUGUCUGAAAGUAUCGUACGAAUAAGGAUCGGCUAACUCCGUG
rnacentral:rRNA from 1 species